rnacentral:rRNA from 1 species
CGCUGGCGGCGUGCCUAAUACAUGCAAGUCGAACGGUCUUUCUAUGGAAGCUUGCUUCCACUGAGAAGAUAGUGGCGAACGGGUGAGUAACACGUGGGUAACCUGCCCAUAAGAGGGGGAUAACAUCCGGAAACGGGUGCUAAUACCGCAUAGUUUUCUUGAUCGCAUGAUUGAGAAAGGAAAGACGGCCUUUGUGCUGUCGCUUAUGGAUGGACCCGCGGCGUAUUAGUUAGUUGGUGAGGUAACGGCUCACCAAGACGAUGAUACGUAGCCGACCUGAGAGGGUGAUCGGCCACAUUGGGACUGAGACACGGCCCAAACUCCUACGGGAGGCAGCAGUAGGGAAUCUUCCGCAAUGGACGAAAGUCUGACGGAGCAACGCCGCGUGAGUGAAAGAAGGUUUUCGGAUCGUAAAACUCUGUUGUCAGAGAAGAACAAGUUGGAGAGUAACUGCUCCAGCCCUGACGGUAUCUGACCAGAAAGCCACGGCUAACUACGUGCCAGCCGCCGC